rnacentral:rRNA from 1 species
UACCAACCCUUGACAUCCCGUGCUACAUCCAGAGAUGGAUGGUUCCCUUCGGGGACGCGGUGACAGGUGCUGCAUGGCUGUCGUCAGCUCGUGUCGUGAGAUGUUCGGUUAAGUCCGGCAACGAGCGCAACCCACAUCUUUAGUUGCCAGCAGUUCGGCUGGGCACNCUAAAGAAACUGCCCGUGAUAAGCGGGAGGAAGGUGUGGAUGACGUCAAGUCCUCAUGGCCCUUACGGGUUGGGCUACACACGUGCUACAAUGGCAGUGACAAUGGGUUAAUCCCAAAAAACUGUCUCAGUUCGGAUUGGGGUCUGCAACUCGACCCCAUGAAGUCGGAAUCGCUAGUAAUCGCGUAACAGCAUGACGCGGUGAAUACGUUCCCGGGCCUUGUACACACCGCCCGUCACACCAUGGGAGUUGGUUCUACCCGACGGCCGUGCGCUAACCUUUUGGAGGCAGCGGACCACGGUAGGAUCAGCGACUGGGGUGAAGUCGUAACAAGGUAGCA